rnacentral:tRNA from 1 species
GCUCCCGUAGCUCAGUCUGGUUAGAGCACGUGGCUCUUAACCACGGUGUCGCCGGUUCAAAUCCGGUCGGGGGCA